GAUGGUUCAUUCAAAUUUCUUGCCCUAUCAACUUUCGAUGGUAGGAUAGUGGCCUACCAUGGUUUUAACGGGUAACGGGGAAUAAGGGUUCGAUUCCGGAGAGGGAGCCUGAGAAACGGCUACCACAUCCAAGGAAGGCAGCAGGCGCGCAAAUUACCCAAUCCCAAUUCGGGGAGGUAGUGACAAUAAAUAACAAUAUAGGGCUCUUUUGGGUCUUAUAAUUGGAAUGAGUACAAUUUAAAUCACUUAACGAGGAACAAUUGGAGGGCAAGUCUGGUGCCAGCAGCCGCGGUAAUUCCAGCUCCAAUAGCGUAUAUUAAAGUUGUUGCAGUUAAAAAGCUCGUAGUUGAACUUUGGGUCUGGCUGAUCUGUCCUCCUAAUCGAGCGCACGGAUUCGGUCGGACCUUUCCUUCUGGGGAACCCUAUGCCCUUCACUGGGCGUAGUGGGGAACCAGGACUUUUACCUUGAAAAAUUAGAGUGUUCAAAGCAGGCCUUUGCUCGAAUACAUUAGCAUGGAAUAAUAGAA
rnacentral:rRNA from 1 species